AUUGAACGCUGGCGGCAGGCUUAACACAUGCAAGUCGAGCGGGGAAGGUUGCUUCGGUAACUGACCUAGCGGCGGACGGGUGAGUAAUGCUUAGGAAUCUGCCUAUUAGUGGGGGACAACAUCUCGAAAGGGAUGCUAAUACCGCAUACGUCCUACGGGAGAAAGCAGGGGACCUUCGGGCCUGGCGCUAAUAGAUGAGCCUAAGGCGGAUUAGCUAGUUGGUGGGGUAAAGGCCUACCAAGGCGACGAUCUGUAGCGGGUCUGAGAGGAUGAUCCGCCACACUGGGACUGAGACACGGCCCAGACUCCUACGGGAGGCAGCAGUGGGGAAUAUUGGACAAUGGGGGGAACCCUGAUCCAGCCAUGCCGCGUGUGUGAAGAAGGCCUUUUGGUUGUAAAGCACUUUAAGCGAGGAGGAGGCUACUGGUAUUAAUACUACCGGAUAGUGGACGUUACUCGCAGAAUAAGCACCGGCUAACUCUGUGCCAGCAGCCGCGGUAACAC
rnacentral:rRNA from 1 species